rnacentral:rRNA from 1 species
UAAACUACGAUUAGAUACCCUAUUAUUUUGAAUGUAAAUAGAUAAUUAAUGCUUGAGUAGUAGUAGAUAUGUUCUUGAAACUCAAAGGAUUUGGCGGUAUUUUAAGUCUUUUUAGAGGAACCUGUCCCGUAAUCGAUAGUCCACGUGUAAUUCGACUUAGCUUUGUUAAUCAGUUUGUAUACCGCCGUCGUCAGAGUAUCUUUUUAGGGUGAGAAUUUUCUGGGCCUUAAAGUGGAGGGGAUGUCAGGUCAAGGUGCAGUUUAUAGUUAAGGGGAGAUGGGUUACAAUAGGUGUAUUUAAACGGAUUUUAAUCUGUGAAGGUUAUUUAAAGGUGGAUUUAAUUGUAAUGAUUGGUUAGUAAGCUAACUUGAUAAUGGCUCUAAAGUAUGCACACAUCGCCCGUCGCUCUUA